rnacentral:misc_RNA from 1 species
UGUGAAGGUCCGCAAGGCAG